rnacentral:rRNA from 1 species
GAUGAACGCUGGCGGCGUGCCUAAUACAUGCAAGUCGAGCGAACAGACGAGGAGCUUGCUCCUCUGACGUUAGCGGCGGACGGGUGAGUAACACGUGGAUAACCUACCUAUAAGACUGGGAUAACUUCGGGAAACCGGAGCUAAUACCGGAUAAUAUAUUGAACCGCAUGGUUCAAUAGUGAAAGACGGUUUUGCUGUCACUUAUAGAUGGAUCCGCGCCGCAUUAGCUAGUUGGUAAGGUAACGGCUUACCAAGGCGACGAUGCGUAGCCGACCUGAGAGGGUGAUCGGCCACACUGGAACUGAGACACGGUCCAGACUCCUACGGGAGGCAGCAGUAGGGAAUCUUCCGCAAUGGGCGAAAGCCUGACGGAGCAACGCCGCGGGAGUGAUGAAGGUCUUCGGAUCGUAAAACUCUGUUAUUAGGGAAGAACAAAUGUGUAAGUAACUAUGCACGUCUUGACGGUACCUAAUCAGAAAGCCACGGCUAACUACGUGC